rnacentral:rRNA from 1 species
ACUCAAAUGAAUUGACGGGGGCCCGCACAAGCGGAGGAACAUGUGGUUUAAUUCGAUGAUACGCGAGGAACCUUACCUGGACUUAAAUGCAGAAUGACUUUCCUGGAAACAGGAUUUCUCUUCGGAGCAGACUGCAAGGUGCUGCAUGGUUGUCGUCAGCUCGUGCCGUGAGGUGUCGGGUUAAGUCCCAUAACGAGCGCAACCCCUAUUAUUAGUUGCCAGCGGGUAAUGCCGGGGACUCUAAUAAGACUGCCAGUGUAAACUGUGAGGAAGGUGGGGAUGACGUCAAAUCAGCACGGCCCUUACGUCCAGGGCUACACACGUGUUACAAUGGCCGGUACAAAGAGCAGCUACUUAGUGAUAAGAUGCUAAUCUCAAAAGCCGGUCUCAGUUCGGAUCGAAGUCUGCAAUUCGACUUCGUGAAGCUGGAUUCGCUAGUAAUCGUAGAUCAGCCAUGCUACGGUGAAUACGUUCCCGGGCCUUGUACACACCGCCCGU